rnacentral:rRNA from 1 species
UACGUAGGGAGCAAGCGUUGUCCGGAAUCAUUGGGCGUAAAGCGCGCGUAGGUGGCUUCGUAAGUCCGUUGUGAAAGUCAAAGGCUCAACCUUUGAAAGCCGAUGGAUACUGCGGAGCUAGAGUACGGAAGAGGCGAGUGGAAUUCCUGGUGUAGCGGUGGAAUACGCAGAUAUCAGGAGGAACACCAAUAGCGAAGGCAGCUCGCUGGGACGUUACUGACACUGAGGCGCGAAAGCGUGGGGAGCGAACAGG